UGGGAUGCUGGGAGAUUCAGUCUUCCCUGUUUCCUCUUCUAUGCUGUGCUUCUCUGUGCUAGCAAGAAGGACCAGGUCAAAUGGAAGCUGAAGUCAUACCAGCUCACCCAUUCCUACUGGAGACCCAUCCUGUGUACAAAGCUGAGCGCUUGAGGUCCUUAUGGAGCCUUACGGAAUUUAUCUCAUCAUCCAAAUUUUCCUGAUGAGGAAACUGAGGAAGACCUCCGGGGGACACCCACCAGAUCGCUACCCCCUUUCAUACCUCCGUGGGGCGUGUCUUGAUCUUCCCAGAGCAGAGACGGGGCGGGGGGGUGUUCAAGCCUCUGGCCAAGGUGCCGCUUCUCUGGCUUUGGCGGUGUCUCGGAGGCCCAGAUGCAGGAAUCAGGCCCCGCCUCUGCAUGGCGAACGACCAAUCGCGACGCUCUUGUUACCACUGUGCCCAAUCUUCGAAAGGGGCGCUUGCCUUUGCCUGCCGGUUCCACCUCCACGGAUGCAGCAUACUCAGAACUCUGAUCCUGGCCCUUCAGAGCUGCCUGGCUGAGGUGUUGGUGGAAAGGCCUUGUCACGGUUGCACGAGGGGGACGAUGACCUUGGCCUGCGGGUCCCCCCUCCGAGGAUGUAGGAUCCUCUGCAUCCUGAUCGUGGUCGGACCGAGCCUCCUGGCGAUGGCUGAGGCAUGAAAUUCCCAUUGGCUGUCUCUCAGGUAAAGAAGCUAAAAGCAGAGAAAGAAGUGACCAUCUCCAGGUGGUACAGAAGUCAGAGCAUCCUUCCGUGUGAUUGAAGCGCCCACUGGAGGCCACAGCGGGAACAGACACCAGAAAUUUUUUGGUGAGCUAGCUAGAGGGACACAACAUAAUCUUUUAAAAGCAUAGAUGGGAUGAUGUCACCCUUAUACUUUAAGUAUUCAGUGACGUCUCUUGGCGGUGGAACAGAAUUCAAACUCCUCACCAUGGCAUGAGUCACCACUCUCUUGACUCACUCCAAACACCCUCCUUGCCCUCAACCCAAGCUGCAAACUUCCACCCCCAGGGUUUCCCGUUCCUGGGCUCCCAAGUAUCAGUCCUGUCUGGACUUUUUACUUGCCUUGAUCCUUCGGACCACCUUUCAGGACUCUAUGCACUUCUUCCAUACACUGGAUCAUGGCCUUUAUUCCCAUCACCCUUGGCAUGAGCAGAGAUUGUCUUGCUCAUGGAUUGGUUUAUUACAUCAAACCUCCUGAAUUGGGAGUGCCACCAGAGUGGGGACUACAUGGACCUCACAUGCCCAGUGCCCAGCACAAACUUGGGAACUGUGUGGAUUGGAAUGAUGUAGGGGGUGGGAGCGCGGAGCCCCAAGAGACCACAGUGGCUGUAGUAAUGAUAGUCCCUAGCACGCAGAGCCUUGGGACAGUGGGAGGAAUAACCCAGAGAACUAGAAACGAGCAGAAGAUGCUUAGAUAUGCUGGCUUAAGAAGGUCUAUUCAUCUUUACAAUUAUACAUAUACACGUCUGGGCACAUAUGUGUGUGGAUGCCAGUGGCACCCAGAAGUGUCCUCUGGUGCCAGAGUUGUGGGUGGUGGUCACUUAAUUCGACCUCUGACUGAACUCUGGCCCUCUGAAAUAGCUGCUGAGACAUCUCUCCAGGUCCAUAUGUCUUUUUUCUUCAUGUUUGUGUUCCUCUGUGUAGAUCAGGCUGACCUUGAGCUCACAGAAAUCCCCCUGCCUCCAAAUCCUGAAUGCCGGGAUUAAAGGGAUCCAUUACCA